AGUGAACGCUGGCGGUAGGCCUAACACAUGCAAGUCGAACGGCAGCACAGUAAGAGCUUGCUCUUACGGGUGGCGAGUGGCGGACGGGUGAGGAAUACAUCGGAAUCUACUUUUUCGUGGGGGAUAACGUAGGGAAACUUACGCUAAUACCGCAUACGACCUACGGGUGAAAGCAGGGGAUCUUCGGACCUUGCGCGAUUGAAUGAGCCGAUGUCGGAUUAGCUAGUUGGCGGGGUAAAGGCCCACCAAGGCGACGAUCCGUAGCUGGUCUGAGAGGAUGAUCAGCCACACUGGAACGGAGACACGGUCCAGACGCCUACGGGAGGCAGCAGGGGGGAAUAUUGGACAAUGGGCGCAAGCCUGAUCCAGCCAUACCGCGUGGGUGAAGAAGGCCUUCGGGUUGUAAAGCCCUUUUGUUGGGAAAGAAAAGCAGCAGGUUAAUACCCCGCUGUUCUGACGGUACCCAAAGAAUAAGCACCGGCUAACUUCGU
rnacentral:rRNA from 1 species